rnacentral:rRNA from 1 species
UACGUAGGGGGCGAGCGUUGUCCGGAUUUAUUGGGCGUAAAGAGCUCGUAGGCGGCUUGGCAAGUCGGGUGUGAAACCUCCAGGCUCAACCUGGAGACGCCACUCGAUACUGCCAUGCUAGAGUCCGGUAGGGGACCACGGAAUUCCUGGUGUAGCGGUGAAAUGCGCAGAUAUCAGGAGGAACACCGGUGGCGAAGGCGGGUCUCUGGGCCAUUACUGACGCUGAGGAGCGAAAGCGUGGGGAGCGAACAGG